UGGUCAUUACCAAGGCUUUUAGAAUGUGGUUUCUGAUUGCUGUGGACAUGACCAUAAAAAAUUACCCAAGAGGUUUAUAUUUGCUAAUAUUAUUAGCAUUUAACCUAUUGGGAACAGUU
ensembl:snoRNA